rnacentral:rRNA from 1 species
UACGUAGGGCGCAAGCGUUGUCCGGAAUUAUUGGGCGUAAAGAGCUCGUAGGCGGCUUGUCACGUCGGGUGUGAAAGCCCGGGGCUUAACCCCGGGUCUGCAUUCGAUACGGGCUGGCUAGAGUGUGGUAGGGGGAGAUCGGAAUUCCUGGUGUAGCGGUGAAAUGCGCAGAUAUCAGGAGGAACACCGGUGGCGAAGGCGGAUCUCUGGGCCAUUACUGACGCUGAGGAGCGAAAGCGUGGGGAGCGAACAGG